CAACAAAAAAAGUUGGCUAUCAAUUUUGAAAUGAGGGCAAUCGUCUUUUAGGUACACAGAAGGGGAUGCGCAGAAUGGGAGGCGCGUACCCAGCGGGAACUGCUCUUUCUGGUUUUCCUUUUAUAUCUCUUGCAAAUCCGACGUUAAGUAAUCGCUCUGCUAGAGUUCAACGCGCCAGGAUGGAUAAUUUCACUACUCGUUUGCUUUGGAAUAUGUGGGCCGAGAUCUGGUUAGAGGAAACGAGUUUGUGUUUCUGAUUCCAUUUGCAUAUUUAUAUCUCCAUGAACAAGUCCAAGGCAAAGAAUACCAUAGACAAUUUAAAUUCAAUUGCAAGUGGAUCAUUUGGAAAUUUCACUGGAAGAUUUUUGAGCACCUGGGAUGCACCAGGCAGGAGGCGAGGCAGAACUUGUUCUGCAGACUCUUGGCUGAGGAGAUGUGUGAUGAUGGAUCAGCUGGGUCAAAUAAGGUAAAUGUCUCCUGUGGAAACAGGAAGCUGGAAGUUCAACCAGGAGAAGCUUGUCUGUGGAAAGCUCAGUUGGGGACUGGAGCCGAGGUUGUGAGUUCCUGAUUCGAUGACACUUUUCCCCCUUUCUGUUGUGACUGCCUAUCAGAGACAAAUCCUGCAGUGAAGAAUUACAAGUCUGCUGCUCCACUCUGUGUGGGCCCCACGGUGCUGGCAGGAGAGAGGGAUGUGGAGAAUGGCGGUGUCAGCUGCUGAAAAGCCUGGCUCCUAAAGGCCAUUUUAAAGAAGAAUCGAUCCCUGUGGGCGUUGUAUGCAAACUCUACAAGCUGUUGCCACUUGAAUAUUAAAUAUUAGUUCUUUUUUAAUACCACA